AUUUAUUUAGUACAAAAUAAGUACCCUUGAUUUCCAAUCAAAAAGUCUAAAAAUAUUUAGAAUAAAUA
rnacentral:tRNA from 1 species